UACGUAGACGGAAGAUUAAGUCAGUGGUGAAAUCCCGCAGCUCAACUGUGGAACUGUCAUUGAUACUGGUUUUCUUGAAUUUAGUUGAGGUAGGCGGAAUGUGUAAUGUAGCGGUGAAAUGCUUAGAUAUUACACAGAACACCGAUUGCGAAGGCAGCUUACUAAACUAUGAUUGACGCUGAGGUACGAAAGCGUGGGGAGCGAACAGGAUUAGAUACCCUGGUAGUCC
rnacentral:rRNA from 1 species